rnacentral:rRNA from 1 species
CGUAGGGUGCAAGCGUUAAUCGGAAUUACUGGGCGUAAAGCGUGCGCAGGCGGUUUUGUAAGACUGUCGUGAAAUCCCCGGGCUCAACCUGGGAAUGGCGAUGGUGACUGCAAGGCUAGAGUUUGGCAGAGGGGGGUAGAAUUCCACGUGUAGCAGUGAAAUGCGUAGAUAUGUGGAGGAACACCGAUGGCGAAGGCAGCCCCCUGGGUCAAAACUGACGCUCAUGCACGAAAGCGUGGGGGAGCAAACAGGAUU